GGAAAACCCAUCUCACUCCGCUCCUUGACGGAAAAGUCCCCAUCCCAAUUUCAAACUCCUCAAUUUCAAACUCCUGUACCCGCUUCCAAUCCACUCUCCGCUCUGUUAUCAUUCCUAGCAAAAUAACGCAAGAAGAAUGCACAUCCCCAAAUGGAAAUGUGGUGGGUUCUACCCACAAGAGGGCCUGCCCGUACCUAGAGGGGAGAGAAUGGCCCACAAAAAGCAGAGAGCUUAAUUAAAACCGAGAUAAACCAGGCAGGCAAAACUGAGAGACAGAAAAACUUAUUCGAACAUAGAUCAUACACAAAUUGCUGUGGGAUUAGAUUUGGAACAGAAUAGUAAAUCCCAUAGAUGCUAAUAGAUUGGUGUGAAAAUGGAUUCUUU
rnacentral:misc_RNA from 1 species